GAGCGGGCGCCCUCUUUGUCCAAAGGCGGUCAGGCAUGGAAGGAGCCAGACCAUCAAGGACAUCUCCAUCGACAAGAAGUGCCCGGGGACCACAAAUGCAUCCAUCCGCGGCCUCUCCCUCUUUGGAGCUGGCGAUUGAUGGGUGGGGCCGCCUGGCUGCCGUUGACUGACUGAACAGAUGCUCCUGGGGAGGUACCUGGUGUUCCUGAGGAACCGGAUGGAUAUCAUCCCGUCCAGAGGGCUGGACUGCUCUCGAACCCUGACCUGCAUCUUCUGACAGAUGGGAUGCUGUCCCACAAGAUCAAAUGGGGCCAGGUGGCCCUGGAGAGACUUGAGGUGUUGGAGAUUCCCCUCUGCCCUACAAAAAGGAUGUGUGUGAAGAGAGCUCAGAAGACCAUCUGCUAAAGGAGGAUGGAAUCCUGGUUUAACCUGCAAUGAGAUUGUCCGGCUUCUCACUUCUGGGUGUAGUCAUUUUCACUAGAUUGUUAGCUCUUUGAGGGCAGAGAUCAAUCUUGUCUACUGUACUCUCCCAUGUGAGCAAUAAAUGAAGUUCGGCUUGAGAA